CCCAAGGCCACACAGACCAGAGAUUUAAUUCCUGCUUUUAUCUCUUCUUCUGUUGCUGCCUGGGAAUUCAUUACCUUUAUCAACACAGAAAAAUAAGCUCUUUUCUUUUAAAGCAACAGCACAGUAAAAACCUUGGUCCUUCAGGGACAAGCCAGCAUGAGGGAUGAAUGAAUACACAUGAGGGAGCAAAGACAAGGCAGGGGAUCAAGCCAGGAGGAUUUGCUGAGAUUGGGAAGGUGAUGAGAGAAACAAUACAACCAGAACCCCGUCUCCACAAUCUGAAGUAAAGAAGAAAUCUUACAUCAUGGAUAAACUCAUUUUUCUGCUGAUGAUGGAUGAAGGGGAGGACAUACAACUGUAGGACAAGUACAGAGGGCUGAAGGACAAUUAUGUCAACAAGGAAGCAAUGCAGGAACAGAAACCUGAGUCAAUAUUCAGUCAGACCCUUUAAUUGUGCAGCUCAUUUUGUACCAAUGGAAGUAAAUCCUUAAUUCUGAAUCAACUUGUGCCUAGGGGAAAGGAGUGCAAGAGCCUUUGGUAUCCCCAUAGACAGCCCCUGAUGGGAAUCAUGAUACAGUGAAGAGAGGUAAAACCUUAACCAGUCUGGAAUUCAGGAGCAGUGGAAGCACCCGAGGAGAAGAGAAUAUGGACCUCAGGAGAAAAAAUUAUUUUAGAGACAUGUAUAGAUAUAUAUAGAGGGAGAUUUGACCCGUGUUUUUAUCAGGUGAGAGAUCCAAUAUAAAAGGAAGUCACUGUGGUAAAGAAUGUAAGGUUGUCAUCAGGCCACAGAAAAUCUCUUCACAAAUUCUUUAUUUCCAGGUUGGAGUUCAGGAACAGAGGAACGCAAGAUCAAACCAGCUCACAUGCUGCAACACUUAAAGUACCCUAUUUUAAAAAUAGAAAUCAGAUCUGAUCUCUCUUAGGAAGUAAAAAAAAGUAUUGUGCAGAAAAUUACAAGAAGUUCUGGAUCAGAUUAUGUGGUCAGCAGCCUAAGUGGCUUAAAAUGAUCAAAACUCCAGUAAAAAAAAAAAAAUCUCUCAGAAGACUGUUCAGAUUGCUCUGGGUAUUUUUGUUUGAGUGGUCACAGCGUGAGCAACACCCAGCCCAGAGCAGCUGAGAUGGAGGAGCAGGGCAGCACCCAUGGGCUGGAACGCCACUGUCACUGGAGAGUGAAUUACAGCCUGUCAGUCAGUGAAAGGUGACACCAAACUACAGACACCGUGCCACAGGAAAAGACUCCAAGGGGCUCCUGGCCUGGAACCCACCUUGGGGGGAGCUGUGUCUGUGUCUGGGAUGCACACGGCAUCUCCUCACUGGCCUGAAGGGCUGCUUCUCGGGGCUGAGCAUCUCCCGGGAGUCACGGAAAGCAGAGCAGGGCAAGAGGCAGCAGCCAACAAACAGCACGUUACUCUGCAUCUCAGAAAUCUCCACCAAGGCCAUUUAUUCUCCUCUGAGAAUGAAUAACUAAUGAGAAGCCUGCUCUUGCCAGUUAUUGUAGCACUGCACAGAGCGGGUUGGAUGUGGAGCUGCUAUUAAUAGCACUGAACGAGCUGCUAAUUGGGCAGUUAUGUAAUGGCUUUGUUAUGAAACCUAGUUUGGGUUUGACACCUUGUUUCCUAAAAACAACAGUAAAACCCCCAAACAAACCCAGGGUUAGCAGUGCGUGACAUGAAAUAAAGGCUGAAUAAUUACCAAUGUUUCAAAACUCAAAUAGAAUUAAAAAGGGGGGAAAAAUCAAUUUGUUUCUCUGGAUUGCAGCAGAAGUGAGCUGGAAGAGAAUCAUACCACAGAUCUGCUGUUCAAAGGGAUACUUCAAAGUAACUUUCUCUAAUACCUGCCCUGCAAAUGCUGACAAAAAUCCUCCAAGCGACC